rnacentral:rRNA from 1 species
AGCGAACGCUGGCGGCAGGCCUAACACAUGCAAGUCGAACGGACCCUUCGGGGUUAGUGGCGGACGGGUGAGUAACACGUGGGAACGUGCCUUUAGGUUCGGAAUAGCUCCUGGAAACGGGUGGUAAUGCCGAAUGUGCCCUUCGGGGGAAAGAUUUAUCGCCUUUAGAGCGGCCCGCGUCUGAUUAGCUAGUUGGUGGUGUAACGGACCACCAAGGCGACGAUCAGUAGCUGGUCUGAGAGGAUGAUCAGCCACAUUGGGACUGAGACACGGCCCAAACUCCUACGGGAGGAAGCAGUGGGGAAUCUUGCGCAAUGGGCGAAAGCCUGACGCAGCCAUGCUGCGUGAAUGAUGAAGGUCUUAGGAUUGUAAAAUUCUUUCACCGGGGACGAUAAUGACGGUACCCGGAGAAGAAGCCCCGGCUAACUUCGUGCCAGCAGCCGCGGUAAGAC